AUCCUCACUUCGGCAGCACAUAUACUAUAAUUGGAAUGAUACAGAGAAGAUUAGCAUGGUCCCUGCACAAGAAUGACACGCAAAUUCAUGAAGUGUUCCAUUUAAAA
rnacentral:snRNA from 1 species